rnacentral:rRNA from 1 species
AUUGAACGCUGGCGGCAGGCCUAACACAUGCAAGUCGAGCGGCAGCGGGAAAGUAGCUUGCUACUUUUGCCGGCGAGCGGCGGACGGGUGAGUAAUGCCUGGGGAUCUGCCCAGUCGAGGGGGAUAACAGUUGGAAACGACUGCUAAUACCGCAGACGCCCUACGGGGGAAAGGAGGGGACCUUCGGGCCUUUCGCGAUUGGAUGAACCCAGGUGGGAUUAGCUAGUUGGUGGGGUAAUGGCUCACCAAGGCGACGAUCCCUAGCUGGUCUGAGAGGAUGAUCAGCCACACUGGAACUGAGACACGGUCCAGACUCCUACGGGAGGCAGCAGUGGGGAAUAUUGCACAAUGGGGGAAACCCUGAUGCAGCCAUGCCGCGUGUGUGAAGAAGGCCUUCGGGUUGUAAAGCACUUUCAGCGAGGAGGAAAGGUUGUUGGCUAAUACCCAGCAACUGUGACGUUACUCGCAGAAGAAGCACCGGCUAACUCCGUGCCAGCCGCCGCAGUAA